rnacentral:lncRNA from 1 species
UGCAUUUGAACUUUUAUUUUAUUUUUAUUUAUUUUACUUUGUUAAAAUCCUAGUUUUUAAUCACUUUUUCAAAUCAAAAUAUUUUUCUUCAGCAAAGUGUUUUUACAAUUGCAUUUAUAAAUAAUUCUUUUCAUAGUCCCUGUGGGUAUGAUAACUCGACAUUUACUUGUCACUUUAUUACUUGUUGCAAUUGUGUACACUUGCACAUUUCCGUCGUUCCAAGUUUUUGGCGCUGUUGC